ensembl:snRNA U6 U6 spliceosomal RNA
GUGCUUGCUUCAGCAGUACAUAUACUAAAAUUGGAACGAUACAGAGAAGAUUAUCAUGGCCCCUGAGCAAGGAUGACACACAAAUAAAUAAAAUAGAUCUAUUU